GGCAACCCGCUCGGGUCACCUUCGACACCGUGGAAGCUUUGUUCUUUCGUCCUUUGCAAUAAAUCUUGCUACUGCUCACUCUUUGGGUCCACACUGCUUUUAUGAGCUGUAACACUCACCUCGAAGGUCUGCAGCUUCACUCCUGAGCCAGUGAGACCACGAACCCCCUAGAAGGAAAAAACUCCGAACACAUCCAAACAUCAGAAGGAACAAACUCCAGACGUGCCACUUUAAGAGCUGUAACACUCACCGCGAGGGUCCGUGGCUUCAUUCUUGAAGUCAGUGAGACCAAGAACCCACCAAUUUCGGACACACUAGGCUCUGACAAGCAACUCUGCAAAGCAGAAGUGAUGCUUGAAACCACAGCAGCCAUUUUGGGGCCACGAGGCAAUAAGCACAAGGAUAAAAAGCCAAGAACCAAAGAUGGAGAAUCAAGGGUGUAAUGAACCUAGAUGAUAUGAUAUGACAGAGUCCUGAACUGCUAGACUUCUUACUAGGAGUCCCAGUGUCUCCUGAGGAAAUCCCUUUCCCAUUCAGCCGGCAGCUGCAGCAGGUGGGAUGGGCCAGACCAGCCCUCUGGGGAUGCUGAUCCCAGGGAGCAUCCAGGCCGGAAGGUCCAAACGGGCAAGUGACUCAUUUGCUUUUCCUCCCUUGGUCAUGUCUAUGACUCAUACACUUUCAUUCAGUCCCAAGUAUGAGAAAGGAACAUCAAAAAGUCCAAGAUGUUAUCAAAUAUUUGAUGAAAAAGAAAAUUCCCCUCUCAUAUGACCCUUACAGAAAAUGUUUAUUUAGUCUUUUCAUUUUGUUGACAUUUCUUUGAUUUAUCAACAUUGAGAAGGUACAGUGAGGAGAAGGAAGGCUGUUAAGUGAGACAAAGGAGGGUUAGGAUGGCUCAGUCAUUGCUCCCCCGAGGGAGUGAUCUAAGCUGCUCACCCACAGACAGAAAGGGUAAAUGGG